AUUCUGUAUUCAAUUUUCAGUACAUUUGUGGCAGGGUCUGUGCACUGGAAUAGAGAAUCUCAGGACGAUUUUCAACACCAUCUCUGUUACUGGCUCACAUCUAAAAGCUUACUUUUUGGUGUUUUAUUUUUGAAUGUUUGUCAAUCUGGAUUCUGAAACUAAGCUGCAAUUAUGUAUCGAGAAACAACAAAGAUUAUUGAAUGAACAACAUCCAUCUUGCAAACGUGUAUAAAAUAUUUGCAAAGGUGUUUGAUAUUGUUUAUUUAUUAGCUAUUUGCAUUUUUGUGCAUUUGAAAGUUUUUAUUUGUUGCGAAUUGUGCUGUCGUGUUUACUUAGUCAAUAUGAGUAAACGAGUAAAGGCCUGCUGUGUACCAGGAUGCGAUAAGACAUUUCAUUUCUAUGAAUGAAGACGUUUGCAGAAUUUGGUUGCAAAGAAUAAAUAACCCCAAGUUAAUGCAUGCAGAUGCAGUAUUAUCAUCACAUAGAAUAUGUGAUAUUUAUUUUGAACAAAUUUGUAGAAACCCCAAUGGCAGGUUAAAAAACCUUUCACUGCCAACUCUACAUUUACAUGGUUACAAAAAAGGUGAAAAUGAUAUAGAUACUUGGCUCAAUGCACUGCCAGUUUUAAAUUCAUUUCAUUUUAUAGACCCAUCAAAAAAGAGUGGUAGUUGUAUAACACCAUCAAUUAAGAAACUACCAUUCACCAGGAUUUGUGUACAUUUGGCAAAAGUUGAGGCAGGAAGGAUUCAAAUAUUUGAGUGGCAGAAACUUAAAUCAAGAUGCCAUUGAAAAUUUCUUUGUCAUGGUAAGAAGUCAUGGCAUUAGGAAUACGAAUCCUUCAUGUGCUGCAUUUGUUUCGUUCACAAAGUCUUUAAUUGUAAAUAAUUUCAUGUCUAAACAUUCGCCAGGAUUUAAUUGUGAGAUGACUUUUCAACGGGGACAUUGGAUACUUUUAAAAAUUUCCUCAGUGAAAGAAACACCUAUUGAACAAAUAACUCCAAUAGUCAAUGUCCCAAUUUAUAAACCAUUCAAUAGAAGCUCAAAAUAUACAGGAUUAGAUCUUGUCACUCCUUAUGUAGCAGGUUCAGUAGCAAAGAAAUUAUUUAAAGUCUUAAAUGCCACUUGUGUAAAAAUAUAAUAUUGUCAAAUGAAUUGAUUAAGGCAAAUUCAUUAAUAUAUUCUAGGGAACAUAAAAAAAUGUUUUAUGUGCGCCUUCAGCAAAAUUCUGUGAUAUUUUUAAGUUUUUCAUUUCAUUAGGCAAAAAAAAACAAAUAUUUCGUUUGGAGGAUUUGACAGACAUUUCCUCAAUAUUUUGUUCAGAUCAUAAGGAUUAGGUAAAUAUGUUUGUAAAUAUUAGUUUUAACAUAUGCAUCUUUCAUUACAUAAGUAUUAUUACUAAAAUUUUGAAGGGCAAAGAUCAAAAAUAUGAAGACUAUGAUGUUGUGAUGAAUAUGACAUAUGUUAAAUAUAGGGAAAGUUGCAAGAAAGACAAUGGUAAUCAUUAAUUAAACAUGGUUAUAAAAUCAGUUUUUUAUAUACCAUUGUAUCUACCAUGUACAAACAGAAACAUUUUUUAAAUACGCCAACAUCUCACUGUUUACAGUCCUAAGCCUGCUAAAGUGUGAAGGAAAAUUUUUUGUUUGUGGAUAUAGUUAUAAAAUGUCAAAAACAAAAUAAAAAUUAUAAUAAUCA